UACGUAGGGGCCGAGCGUUGUCCGGAGUUAUUGGGCGUAAAGCGCGCGCAGGCGGCUUCGCGCGCCCGCCGUGAAAGCCCCCGGCUUAACCGGGGAGAGUCGGUGGGGACGGCGGAGCUUGAGGGCGGGAGAGGUCGGUGGAAUUCCCGGUGUAGUGGUGAAAUGCGUAGAGAUCGGGAGGAACACCUGUGGCGAAGGCGGCCGACUGGGCCGACCCUGACGCUGAGGCGGCGAAGGCGGUGGGGAGCGAACGGG
rnacentral:rRNA from 1 species